GCUGCCUUACACAUGCAAGUCGAACGGCAGCGCGGGGCAACCUGGCGGCGAGUGGCGAACGGGUGAGUAAUAUAUCGGAACGUACCCUGGAGUGGGGGAUAACGUAGCGAAAGUUACGCUAAUACCGCAUACGAUCUAUGGAUGAAAGUGGGGGAUCGCAAGACCUCAUGCUCCUGGAGCGGCCGAUAUCUGAUUAGCUAGUUGGUGGGGUAAAGGCCUACCAAGGCAACGAUCAGUAGCUGGUCUGAGAGGACGACCAGCCACACUGGAACUGAGACACGGUCCAGACUCCUACGGGAGGCAGCAGUGGGGAAUUUUGGACAAUGGGGGCAACCCUGAUCCAGCAAUGCCGCGUGAGUGAAGAAGGCCUUCGGGUUGUAAAGCUCUUUUGUCAGGGAAGAAACGGCUGUGGCUAAUAUCCACGGCUAAUGACGGUACCUGAAGAAUAAGCACCGGCUAACUACGUGCCAGCAGCCGCGGUAAUACGUAGGGUGCAAGCGUUAAUCGGAAUUACUGGGCGUAAAGCGUGCGCAGGCGGUUUUGUAAGUCUGACGUGAAAUCCCCGGGCUUAACCUGGGAAUUGCGUUGGAGACUGCAAGGCUGGAAUCUGGCAGAGGGGGGUAGAAUUCCACGUGUAGCAGUGAAAUGCGUAGAUAUGUGGAGGAACACCGAUGGCGAAGCAGCCCCCUGGGCUAAGAUUGACGCUCAUGCACGAAAGCGUGGGGAGCAAACAGGAUUAGAUACCCUGGUAGUCCACGCCCUAAACGAUGUCUACUAUUGUCGGGUCUUAAUUGACUUGGUAACGCAGCUAACGCGUGAAGUA
rnacentral:rRNA from 1 species